rnacentral:rRNA from 1 species
UGGGGAAUAUUGCACAAUGGAGGGAACUCUGAUGCAGCGACGCCGCGUGAGUGAUGAAGGAAUUCGUUUCGUAAAACUCUGUUCUAUGGGAAGAAAAGGACUGUACCAUAGGAGAAAGCUCCGGCUAAAUACGUGCCAGCAGCCGCGGUAAUACGUAUGGAGCGAGCGUUGUCCGGAAUUAUUGGGCGGAAAGGGUGCGCAGGCGGCUUUACAAGUUGGAUGUGAAAUAUUGUGGCUCAACCACAAACGUGCAUCCAAAACUGCAAAGCUUGAGUUAAGGAGAGGUAAGUGGAAUUCCUGGUGUAGCGGUGGAAUGCGUAGAUAUCAGGAGGAAUACCGGUGGCGAAGGCGACUUACUGGACUUAAACUGACGCUCAGGCACGAAAGCGUGGGGAGCAAACAGG